rnacentral:rRNA from 1 species
GAACGUGGAGAUAGCUGGUUCUCCCCGAAAUAGCUUUAGGGCUAGCCUCAGGGAAUGUAUGCAGACGGUAGAGCACUGAUCGGGCAAGGGAGCGUAAAGCUUACCGACCCCAGUCAAACUGCGAAUGGCUGUAUAAGAGGCCUUGGGAGUCAGCGUGCGAGUGAUAAGACCCGUACGCAAGAGGGAAACAGCCCAGACCGCCGGCUAAGGUCCCAAAUACUGUGCUAAGUGGAAAAGGAUGUAGGACUUCGAAAACAACCAGGAUGUUGGCUCAGAAGCAGCCACCAUUAAAAGAGUGCGUAAUAGCUCACUGGUCGAGAGGACCUGCGCCGAAGAUAUCCGGGGCUCAAGCACAGAACCGAAGCCGCGGCAUUACGAAAGUAAUGGGUAGGGGAGCGUACCAUAGGCGACGAAGGCUGACUGGAAAGACAACUGGAGCGUAUGGUAGUGAGAAUGCCGGUAUGAGUAGCGAAAAGGACGGUGAGAAUCCGUCCCACCGAAAGCCUAAGGUUUCCUGAGCAACGAUCGUCGGCUCAGGGUAAGUCGGGACCUAAGCCGAGGCAAAGAGCGUAGGCGAAGGACAACUGGCGAAAAAUCCAGUACCACUCUAAGUUGCUUGAGGAUGGAGUGACACAGGAGGGAACUUGAGCGCGCGAAUGGAAGAGCGCGUCGAACGCGGUAGGCUGGCAAAGAGGCAAAUCCCUUUGCUAAGGCCGAGAGCGGAUAGGGAAGUAAGCGAAAGCGAACGGAACUCAAGGGAACCACACUGUCGAGAAAAGCUUCUAACGAGACGAAGAGUGCCCGUACCGCAAACCGACACAGGUAGGCGGGGAGAGAAUCCUAAGGUGCGCGGGAAAACCCUCGUUAAGGAACUCGGCAAAAUGUAUCCGUAACUUCGGGAAAAGGAUAGCCGGAGCUAGUGAACUCUCAAGCAGAGGGAGCGAGAGCCGGUGGCACAAGAGAGGCCCAGGCGACUGUUUAGCACAAACACAGGUACUUGCGAAAGAGAAAUCUGAAGUAUAAGCGCUGACGCCUGCCCGGUGCUGGAAGGUUAAGGAAAGAGGUCAAGAGCAAUCUGAAGCUUCGAACUGAAGCCCCAGUGAACGGCGGCCGUAACUAUAACGGUCCUAAGGUAGCGAAAUUCCUUGUCGGGUAAGUUCCGACCCGCAUGAAAGGCGUAACGACCUGGGCACUGUCUCAACGAGGGACCCGGUGAAAUUGAAAUACCUGUGAAGAUGCAGGUUACCCGCGACUGGACAGAAAGACCCCAUGGAGCUUUACUGCAGCCUGGCAUUGAUUUUUGGGAAAGGAUGUACAGGAUAGGUGGGAGACUGGGAAAGUGAGACGCAAGUCACACUGGAGUCAAUGUUGGGAUACCACCCUUCCUUUUCUAAGGACCUAACCGAAGGAAUAACGAACCUCGAGACAGUGCCAGGGGGACAGUUUGACUGGGGCGGUCGCCUCCGAAAGAGCAACGGAGGCGUCCCAAGGUUCCCUCAGCGCGGCCGGAAAUCGCGCGAAGAGUAUAAAGGCAGAAGGGAGCUUGACUGCGAGACGGACAGGUCGAGCAGGUGCGAAAGCAGGGCUUAGUGAUCCGGUGGAAAGAAAGUGGAAUUGCCAUCGCUCAACGGAUAAAAGCUACCCUGGGGAUAACAGGCUAAUCUCUCCCAAGAGUCCAUAUCGACGGGGAGGUUUGGCACCUCGAUGUCGGCUCAUCACAUCCUGGGGCUGAAGCAGGUCCCAAGGGUUGGGCUGUUCGCCCAUUAAAGUGGUACGUGAGCUGGGUUCAGAACGUCGUGAGACAGUUCGGUCCAUAUCCAUCGCGGGCGCAAGAAACAUGAAGGGAUCUGCUCUUAGUACGAGAGGACCGGAGUGGACGGACCGACGGUGUACCGGUUAUGGCGCCAGCCGUAGAGCCGGGUAGCUGCGUCCGGAAGGGAUAAACGCUGAAAGCAUCUAAGCGUGAAACCCACCCUGAGAUGAAGUUUCUCAUGUGAAAGCAGUAAGGCCCCUCGAAGACGACGAGGUAGAUAGGCUGGGAGUGGAAGCCCUGCAAGGGGUGGAGCGGACCAGUACUAAUUGGCCGAGGGCUUGACUUA